AAGUCGUAACAAGGUUUCCGUAGGUGAACCUGCGGAAGGAUCAUUAUCAAAUGCUUUUUAAAAGCAUCCCACCUUUUGUGCACUGUAUCCAUAUGUCCUUUUGGCGCGGCGUUUGACUUGAAAGCAAUUUCAAAAAUUUUGCCCGCCAAGGGAUUAUUUUACAAACGAUAUUUUUAUAGUCUGAUUACUAUUAUUUCGUAAGAAAUAAAAGCUUAUAAUUAACAACAACUCUUAACAAUGGAUCUCUUGGCUCUU
rnacentral:misc_RNA from 1 species